UAGGUACAUGAAAAGAUGCUCCACAUCACUAUUCAUCAGGGAAAUAUAAGUCACAAUGACAAUGAGAUAUCACCUCACACCUUAGGAUGGCUAUU